CAGGAAAGGUGGUUGAGCCGAACCCAUUCCGUCUUCGAUCCCGUGGCCAUGGCGCCGCCGCCGCCGCCGCUGGUGGACGACAUCGUCGAGGAGAUCCUCCUGCGCCUCCCUCCUGAAGACCCGGCGAGCCUCGCGCGCGCUUCGCUCGUCUGCAAGCCCUGGCGCCGCCUCCUCUCGGGCGCCGCCUUCCGCCGCCGCUACCGCGAGCACCACGGGGCUCCGCCCCUGCUGGGGCACCUCCGUCUAUGUAGAACCCGCAAGCCUUGCUUCUCCAGCUUCGUCUCCGGCCUCGGCCGCGCCUUCCCCGACUGGCUCGUGCUCGACUGCCGCCACGGCCGCGCGCUCCUCUCCGCCGCCGCCGCCGCCCCGUCAACCCCUGGCGGCGCGCCCGUGGAUCUCGCCGUCUGGGACCCGAUCACUGACAAGCUGCGCCGCCUUCCCCCGAUCCCGGCCUCGCCCGAAGGCGGCGUCGUCAAAUCCUUCAACGGGGCGGUGCUCUGCGGCGCCCAGGGCUGCGACCACGGCGGCGGCGGCGACUGCCACGAGGGCCCGUUCCGUGUGGUGUUCGUCUUCUCCCCCUUCCGCUUGGCCGUCUCCUUCACCUGCGUGUAUUCGUCGGAGUCCGGUGAAUGGGGCGAGCUCGCCUCCCUUCGUCGGGGCGACGCCCACGUCGAUGUGGGAUCGAAGCCCAGCGUCCUCGUGGGAGACGCACUCUACUUCAGCAGCCUGGACAAGUGCAUCCUCGAGUAUCGACUGAGCACGUCGCGCCUGUCGGUGAUCCUCGCGCCGGAGGGCGCAUCGAUUUUGUGGGCACGUGUUGCCAUUAUCAAGGGGGAGGACGGCGUGCUGGGAUUCGCCGAAGUAGAGGGUUCCAGCUUCGUCCUGUGGUCGAGGCAAGUGGAUGCCGACGGAGUUGCGGGGUGGGCUCGGAGCCGGGCCAUCGAGCUCGAGACGCUAUUCCCUGUAUCUGCUGAUGAUGCCCCAGGAAAAUUCCGUUGGAUACUUGUGAGUGGCUUCGUGGAGGGCACUGAUGUCAUCUUUGUGCAUGCAUUUGGUGAUACUGAUACCUACAAGGUCCAACUCAAGUCAAGACGGGUCACGAAGUUGGCAGAGUCGUAUCGGGGGAUAGUAAUUCCAUACGCGGGCUUCUACAUUCCGGACUAACUGGAUUAGCGGCCUAGCGGGAGUUGGUGUCCGAUGGGAAGAAAGAAACAUCAUAACUGAUCAACCCAAUUAACAGAUCAGGUUUCUGCCUGUCAUACUGAAUGGGUCCGGAACAGCUUCAUGAGACCGUAAGUGAUCCCCAUGGCCACCAAUCCUCCCAUCGCGGCCCUCAGUCCAGCCCGCCCUCCUGGAGCCUGGCCCUUCACCGCCCCGAGGGUGCCAAACACUGCCAGCGUCAGAGUCGCGGUCACCACUACCACCACCACCCGCACCUUGUAGCUCGCCACAAACCAUGCCACGAGCAGCGGGAUGGCAGCCCCAACUGCAAACGACAUUGCGGAGGCCGCCGCCGCCUGGCUUGGGCUUGGCAGUCCAGCCCGGUCCAUGGAUGACCCGCGGGCCUCCUCGACCUGCUUGAGCCCGGCCAGCUCCACGUCGAGCUGCGCGUGGACCGACACAUACUCGCCGAUGGCCAUGCUGCACGCGCCGGCGACGAGGCCUGCCACGCCCGAUAGUAGGGCUGCCCGCGGGUCAGCAGGCCGCGCCGCGCCGAUGCCAAGCAUGAGCGCCGCGGUGGAGACCAGGCCGUCGCUCGCGCCAAGGACCGCCGCGCGUAGCCACUGGCCAUGCUGCGGCGAUGUCGACAUGGCGUCGUAGCCGGCGACACACGCGGGGCAGGGUUUCCCAGUCUCCGGCACGAUGGUGCGGUGGCUGAGCUCUUGCACGGCUAGCUUGGUGUUGUUGCUGGUGGCCAUCUUCUUGGAGCAUAGGCGUGCAGGUGCCACACGCUCAAAGAGUAUCUCUGCGUGGAGAACACAAGACCCUAUAUAUACACACACACACACACACCUGUAGUGACGUCUAGUUGUACGUCUCCAGUCUUGUUAGGAAUAGCCAAAACUAGCAUAGACAAGAUUAUAUUUGUUGUCUAAUUUGUGUGGUAAUUCAUGAGCUUUUGGCAGUCUUUUAUUGCCCUGUGUUUCUAACCUAAAUGUACUUUUCACACGAAAUGUGAUAUAAACUGUUUAUUACUCUGUCCUGCAUACACACUUUCAAGUUCAAGUUCAUCUUGCCUUAUGUUAGGAGCAAUAAAACGGGAACAAUGUUGAUGAGUGUUAGAUCAACAAAAGGGAAAAAGUAAAAGACAAAUCCAAUGUUUCAGCAAACUUAUAUUGUCUAUUUUUGCCAGCCUCAUAUUAAAAGCAAAUGAGACUUUUCAUAAUAAUGUUGUCUCCAGACUGAAAGGAGUUCCAUUUAUAUAUUCCACAACUUUAACAAACAUAUAUUAGAACAGAGAAAAAUGUUAAUGGUGAUAUUAUUUUGUUGGAGACCGAUGUCUGAAACAACAUCCUCUCUGUGGAUACAAUAUAAACAACUUUGUGGUCAAAGAUUCACGUCCUGAACCAAUUGAUACAAAAUGGCACCCUUUCUACAGAGUAAACAAAACUCACAUUCCCCUGUGUUGUUGGAAUGUGUAUUGGAAUUACCACCAAACCGGUGGAAACUCCUAUAUAUCCAGUCCUGAGAAAAGAGACAGCAGGAGCUUGGAUUCUCUCGUCUUGUUUCUUCUUACAUGCUGUGGGCUGGCACUGGCAGUACCGAGGGCUUGCAUUUGCAAUCAUUUUGAGCCAUUGGUAAAACCGGUGCUUCGUAGAUGACCCAUGUCACAAAACACAUGUCAACAUCUUAGGGUGUCCUUGUCUUUCUUACUACCACGGUUUCUUUUUUAUGAAUGCAAACUCCAAUGUUGCUAGUAGAGAAGCAUGUGUAGAAUAUAAGGUGAGACGAAGCCGGGUGGAUCGUGGUAGACAUUUUGUUGGUAUAUAGGAGUAGGACCAUGAUCCAAGUUUGCUGUCCUGGUAAAGGAGAUUAACCAAGCGGCAACCAGGAGAUUGGAAAAUGCUAUUCUGAACCUAUGUACAUAUGAAGUCUUUAUGUUGAAACUUAGCAAGGGUCCUUGAACUCUCACGUUUGAUACACAGCUUGAGUUUGCCACAAGCUUGAAGCAUCGUCCAUCUGUUGGUCCCUCAGCUGUAGAAGCCUUAUUUAAUUGCUGCAGAAAUGCCAAAAUCGUAGGAAAUACAUCAACUGGUUCAUGAUCAUUGAAAGGAAGAUGGACUUGUACUACUGCAGAGAACACCUUUCUUGCUUGCACGCAGAUAUCAUUGUCCUAUCUUUAUUUUUACAAACAUGGGAUCUUGAUUGUUGGAUGCGCAAUUCGAAUUUAAUCAAACCAGAGUUGCAAGCAGUCUAAGCUAGGUACCAAUUUCCAUAAAUCCUCCUUUAAAUGCGGAUGUUCUAGUUUUACCCUAAAUCAAACUUCUCAAAGUUUGGUCAAAUUUAUAAAAAAAUCUACAAACAUUUAUAACUUCAAAUCAGUUUUAUUAAAUCCAUCAUGAUAGAAUACUUAUUUUUCCAUGAGUGCUGCUGCUCGUGGUGUGUUCAGUUCAACCACAACCAGCUUGAGCUAGAUGGCGGGUCUGCCACGUGGUACCUGCGAGGCAGUGACAGUAAAGGCUCGGUGGUAAAUUGAACAAUUGGCCCAUUGACGUAAUACACCAGUACUUGUAAUUUUAGGGAAAUAGUAUGUUUUAGCAGAGGUUAUUUAGGGGAUCCAUCUGAAAUUCCUAGGGUAAACCUAAACUAAAUGUUUAAAAAAUGCAAAGUGCAGUUACAAAACAAGCACAACGAACAAAAAAAAUCACUAGUGUUAAAGAUAAACAGUGAAAGAAGCACAGCACAUCACAGGACACAUCAGGGACAUUGAUCAGCACUUCAGCAGGCGCAAUGUGAUAGUAUGAAACCUUCUAACUGGACAGAUUGCCCAGGUAGCAGCUAUUUUAAGUUGUAACCCGCGGGCUCAAGUACAUCCAUUCUCUUAAACUAAACAAGGGCAGGCCAUUCCAAUUUGCUCUAUGCAAGAGAAAUGAGACCGAGGCAGUAAGAAAAUUGAGAAUAAUACGAGAGAUCAUGCCACGAGAAGUUCAGACAAGAGCAAGCUGAAGAUGAGAUCCUGCUUUCUCUAAUGUUAGCGACACUGGCGAUCCUAACUCGGACGAUCAGGUGUCAUUGGGAGUAUGAUCAGAGGGGUUCAAUCUUCAGUGCCUUGAUCAUCCCUUCUUCCUGGCUGUUUCCCCUGGAUCCCUGAUGCUGUUCCCUGCAAUAGAAAGUGGAGAAAAUUAUGCUCUUAAGAACUAAAUUUAGAGGGUUUCAUUUGAAUUUUCGAAUCAACUGUGAAGGACUAUUAUAUAUGGUGAUACCUGAGCUUGUGCCUGAAUAUCCUCUGGUUCUGUAAUUGUAUCUGAGCACAAAGGAAUGUUACAUGGAACGGUUUCUCGACAUCUGCGCAGCAGGAUAACUAGCAUUACUAAGAUAACUGAUAAAUGGAGCUUUUUGUUUAGUUUCGGUAUAAGCCUGUCAUACAAAAUAAGGCAACUAGUUAACUACCUCAAAUGUCAUGAGAAAGGCCGGCAGGCUUCUAAUCCUUAUGUAUGACGUCCUUCUGAUGCAAGUAAGUGAUCAUGCUCUUUGUGCAACUUCAGCAGUGCUGGGAGGUCUAAGAAAUUAUGCUAUUUGUGCAAGCAACCAUGAAAGGCCUACCAGGCAUGUAUUCUGCACGGAAAGAUGAUAUACUAAAGAACAUGUAUGGAGUAAAUAAUUACAUGAUCUUCAUCACAGAACAAACACACUAUUGCUCAGUUGCUUUUUGGGCAAACAAUUUCUCAGAUGCUUGCGAGUAGUUGGUGAUACGGCCCAAAUAAUGAUCAAGGAAGAUUAUGUCGCAAACCAUGUUCUUACCGAUGUCACAUUGCCAGAAAAGCCAAAGGAGGAUACCACAAUUAUCUACAUUGGAGAGAUACCACUUCAGAUUUCGUGCUCCAAGUUUCCACCUCUUUCCACACCAUUCCAAAAGGGUCCAGCAUGUGUAGAGGGCAAUAAUAACUAGUACUUGAAGUCAUCUUGCAGGCGCAACAAACGGAGCAUGAUUUGAAGGCCCAAGUCAAAAGAUAUGAGAGGUCCAAUGCAAGGUGUUCAGGAAUUGAUUGUUGCGCGUGGCUCCACAAGUUUCCUCCUUUCCUACUAGGAGGGAUGUUCCUAGUAUAAGUAUUCCCCACCCUUCUACUUGAGGGGGGUUCAGAUUUGAGAGUUGUAGACACUCAUGUGUAAUUGUGUAUGUGCUGAUAGCACUCGUGUUCGUUGAGCGUUAACUUUCGUGUGUGGAUUGAAGGGUAUGUCCUUUGAUCUAGAUAGGAUUCUGGUCAUUCUCCCUUGUGAUUCUUCAUAGGCUCACAAGUACUAUAGUUUGGGUUGCGUCUUUUGUAAACCGAACUAGUUAUCCAACAUCGAAUAUUGAGUGUUGUUUCUGCUGUUCUUGAGUUGUUCUUGCAGUUUCUUUGGUAUCGUG